rnacentral:rRNA from 1 species
CCUCGGGUGGCUGCAGUGGGGAAUAUUGGACAAUGGGCGAAAGCCUGAUCCAGCCAUGCCGCGUGUGUGAAGAAGGCCUUCGGGUUGUAAAGCACUUUCAGUGGGGAAGAAAGCCUUGGGGCUAAUACCCUCGAGGAAGGACAUCACCCACAGAAGAAGCACCGGCUAACUCCGUGCCAGCAGCCGCGGUAAUACGGAGGGUGCGAGCGUUAAUCGGAAUUACUGGGCGUAAAGCGCGCGUAGGCGGUCUGAUAAGCCGGUUGUGAAAGCCCCGGGCUCAACCUGGGAACGGCAUCCGGAACUGUCAGGCUAGAGUGCAGGAGAGGAAGGUAGAAUUCCCGGUGUAGCGGUGAAAUGCGUAGAGAUCGGGAGGAAUACCAGUGGCGAAGGCGGCCUUCUGGACUGACACUGACGCUGAGGUGCGAAAGCGUGGGUAGCAAACAGGAUUAGAUACCCGUGUAGUC